CCUACGGGAGGCAGCAGUGAGGAAUAUUGGUCAAUGGACGAGAGUCUGAACCAGCCAAGUAGCGUGAAGGAUGACUGCCCUAUGGGUGUUAAACUUCUUUUAUAAGGGAAUAAAACGAGGCACGUGUGCCUUUUUGCAUGUACUUUAUGAAUAAGGAUGGGCUAACUCCGUGCCAGCAGCAGGGGUAAUACGGAGGGUCCGAGCGUUAUCCGGAUUCAUUGGGUUUAAAGGGAGCGCAGAUGGGUUGUUAAGUCAGUUGUGAAAGUUUGCGGCUCAACCGUAAAAUUGCAAUUGAUACUGGCAGUCUUGAGUACAGGUGAGGUAAGCGGAAUUCGUGGUGUAGCGGUGAAAUGCUUAGAUAUCACGAAGAACCCCGAUUGCGAAGGCAGCUUACUAAACUGUGACUGACAUUGAUGCUCGAAAGUGUGGGUAUCAAACAGGAUUAGAUACCCUAGUAGUC
rnacentral:rRNA from 1 species